rnacentral:rRNA from 1 species
AACGAACGCUGGCGGCAUGCCUAACACAUGCAAGUCGAACGAGACCUUCGGGUCUAGUGGCGCACGGGUGCGUAACGCGUGGGAACCUGCCCUUAGGUUCGGAAUAACUCCCCGAAAGGGGUGCUAAUACCGGACAAUGUCUUCGGACCAAAGAUAUAUCGCGUUUGGAUGGGCCCGCGUUGGAUUAGCUAGUUGGUAGGGUAAAAGCCUACCAAGGCGACGAUCCAUAGCUGGUCUGAGAGGAUGAUCAGCCACACUGGGACUGAGACACGGCCCAGACUCCUACGGGAGGCAGCAGUGGGGAAUAUUGGACAAUGGGCGAAAGCCUGAUCCAGCAAUGCCGCGUGAGUGAUGAAGGCCUUAGGGUUGUAAAGCUCUUUUACCCGGGAUGAUAAUGACAGUACCGGGAGAAUAAGCUCCGGCUAACUCCGUG